rnacentral:rRNA from 1 species
GACAGAGGAUGCAAGCGUUAUCCGGAAUGAUUGGGCGUAAAGCGUCUGUAGGUGGCUUUUCAAGUCCGCCGUCAAAUCCCAGGGCUCAACCCUGGAAUGCCGGUGGAUACUGUCGGGCUCGAGUCCGGAAGAGGCGAGUGGAAUUCCUGGUGGUAGCGGUGAAAUGCGCAGAUAUCAGGAGGAACACCAAUGGCGAAGGCAGCUCGCUGGGACGGUACUGACGCUGAGACGCGAAAGCGUGGGGAGCAAACAGG